rnacentral:lncRNA from 1 species
AAAAGUCAAGUUUUUAUUCACGAUCAUGCAUAGUCAUUCCAUUUCAAUCAUUGAUCUUUCCAUCCAUUUAUUAAUACAUAAAUAGUUCAUUACAAAAAAAAAAGAAAUAAAAAAUUACAUUUUUAAAAAAAAUUGACUUUCUGGUCAACUAUUGACUUUCUGGUCAACUAUUGACUUUUUGGUCAACCAGUUGACCAAAGUUAACCAUUG